rnacentral:rRNA from 1 species
AGAGUUUGAUCCUGGCUCAGGGUGAACGCUGGCGGCGUGCCUAAGACAUGCAAGUCGAGCGGGGCAGGUUUAUACCUGUUCAGCGGCGGACGGGUGAGUAACGCGUGGGUGACCUACCCGGAAGAGGCGGACAACCUGGGGAAACCCAGGCUAAUCCGCCAUGUGGUCCUGUCCUGUGGGGCAGGACUAAAGGGUGGAUAGCCCGCUUCCGGAUGGGCCCGCGUCCCAUCAGCUAGGUUGGUGGGGUAAAGGCCCACCAAGGCGACGACGGGUAGCCGGUCUGAAAAGAUGGCCGGCCACAGGGGCACUGAGACACGGGGCCCCACUCCUACGGGGAGGCAGCAGUUAGGAAAUCUUCCGCAAUGGGACCGGAAGUCUGACGGAGCGACGCCGCUUGGGAGGAGGAAGCCCUUCGGGGUGUAAACUCCUGAACUGGG